rnacentral:lncRNA from 1 species
ACUAUACGUGCCGUGUCGUGUUUCAGUAAGAAGUAAACAAAGCCAUUUAUGUAUGGCGCCCCCUCUCUCAAGAUGAUCUGUGCAUAGUGCAUGCUCACUGUUCUGAGCCUUGAUGAAUUGUCAUGUCAAAUACAAAUAGUACAAAUAUUUCCAUCCAUAGAGAUUUAAUCCAGCAUAUCACAUUAGUCAUGGAGAUUCAUAGAUUAAUCUUCAAAUAUCAAAAAGGAGGACAUGAAGGAGGACACUUUUCAAGGAAGGACAGACCUUACAAAAGGAGGACUGUCCUCCCUAAAGAAGGACGAUUGGUCACCCUAGUUAAGAUAAUGUUUUUACAGCCAUAAGACUGAAAUGUUAUUGUUACUAGUAAAGUAUGCAGAAUUGCUACAGACUUAUGUAUUAAUCUAUAAUAUAUGUAUAUAUAUAUAUACAAAUAAAAUAUAUAG